rnacentral:rRNA from 1 species
UACGGAAGGCAGCAGUGGGGAAUAUUGCACAAUGGGCGCAAGCCUGAUGCAGCCAUGCCGCGUGUAUGAAGAAGGCCUUCGGGUUGUAAAGUACUUUCAGUCGUGAGGAAGGUGUUAAGGUUAAUAACCUUAGCAAUUGACGUUAGCGACAGAAGAAGCACCGGCUAACUCCGUGCCAGCAGCCGCGGUAAUACGGAGGGUGCGAGCGUUAAUCGGAAUUACUGGGCGUAAAGGGCACGCAGGCGGUUAAUUAAGUUGGAUGUGAAAAUCCCCGGGCUUAACCUGGGAAUGGCAUUCAAGACUGGUUAGCUAGAGUCUUGUAGAGGGGGUAGAAUUCCAUGUGUAGCGGUGAAAUGCGUAGAGAUGUGGAGGAAUACCGGUGGCGAAGGCGGCCCCUGGGACAAAGACUGACGCUCAUGUGCGAAAAGCGUGGGGAGCAAAACAGGAUUAGAUACC